rnacentral:tRNA from 1 species
CACGACCUUGGGGUGCAUUCCACGACCCUGGGGUGGUCGUGGAACGUACCCGAAGGUCGUAGAACGUCGCCGCGGGUCGUGG